AUUGAACGCUGGCGGCAGGCCUAACACAUGCAAGUCGAACGAGUGGCGGACGGGUGAGUAAUGUCUGGGAAACUGCCUGAUGGAGGGGGAUAACUACUGGAAACGGUAGCUAAUACCGCAUACCAUCGGAUGUGCCCAGAUGGGAUUAGCUAGUAGGUGGGGUAAUGGCUCACCUAGGCGACGAUCCCUAGCUGGUCUGAGAGGAUGACCAGCCACACUGGGACUGAGAAACGGUCCAGACUCCUACGGGAGGCAGCAGUGGGGAAUAUUGCACAAUGGGCGCAAGCCUGAUGCAGCCAUGCCGCGUGGAUGAAGAAGGCCUUCGGGUUGUAAAGCACGUUAAGCGGGGAGGCGUUACCCACAGAAUAAGCACCGGCUAACUCCGUGCCAGCAGCCGCGGUAAUAC
rnacentral:rRNA from 1 species